AUUGCAAAGAAUGACAGCUGGAUUGUUAAUGUGAAACAUGAUCUGUCAAGCAUUGGUUUAGAAUAUUUGUUUGAAAAGUCGUGUGUGAAUCAGCUUAAAGAUUAUAAAAUAAUAGAAUUCAGAAUAUUGGAUAUUUACAAACAAAACCUAAUGUCGUCUCUUUCAAGUUCACCAAAAAGUGUUCUUUAUCAACUUUUGUUUACAAUCAUAUCUCAAAAGACCAAUCAACUUAAAAGGGAAAAAAAAUAUCAUUAAAUUCAGAACGUCUUCACAUUCUUUGAAUAUUGAAAAAGGCAGACACAAUAAUGUUUUAAGGACUGCGAGGCUUUGUAAAUUAUAUGAUUAUAAUGAUACAGAAGAUGAGUUUCAUUUUAUCCUGAAAUGUCCAUUUUACAAAGAUUUGAGAAAGAAAUAUAUUAAGAGUUUUUAUUACACAAAACCAAGUGUCUUUAAAUUAAUUAAGCUCCUUAGUGUAGACAAUACCAAAGAACUCAAUAACUUGGGAAAAUUCUUAGUUCAAGCUGUGAAAAUACGAAGUUUAGCAUUGUAAAUCAAUAAUAUAAUUAUAGUAUUUUUCUAGUAACAUGUGCAUCUCAUAAUGCGAUUACAUAUAUAUUAUUUUUAUUUGUAAUUUCUUCUCCUCCUAUCUUCUCCCGUCCACUCACCUGUUGUUUAUCUUAUACAAUUUGAUAUAUUGUGUAUACAAAUGUACAUGUACUAGAUGUAUUCCGAUGAGUUGUAUAACUCAAGGACAAUAAAGAAUUGAAUUGAAAGGCCGAGGUUUUCAACCGGUCGGUUUUCCUAAGGUAAGUUAAGUAGGGGCGGAGCUAAUUUAAGGCAGGUGUGAAGCCCCGAGCUCGAGGAAACCCUUGCUUGUAUAUACCGUCCCAAAUACACAGGAUGUUAUCUGUGUUACCUGCAUUACCUGUACGUUUUUGUAAGAUUGAAAAAUUCAUGGUAGUCAUUUUUCUUGUGCAAGUCAAUCGAAAUGUUGAUAACUAAAUCUAAUGAAUCAAACAUGUAAUUAAAGAUAUAUAUAUUAUGCCCAUCGCAUUUGUCGCAUUUUGCGAUUUUUCAGGAAAAAAUGCGACAGAAAUUCCGGAAAUGCGACACGGACAUUUCGUAUUUUAGAAAUCACGUCGCCAUCUUGAAUUUCAGCUGUUGGCAUCCAAACAGCCUCAGGGUUGUUUUACCUGUGCAGAAUGUGGAUACCCUGUCGCAUGGGAACAAUAGACUUAGGGGUGUCUUGUUUAUUUAGUAGUUUACACAAGACAAAAGGUUGAUCGUCUGUGUGCAGACUUCCAGAGUUCCCUUCUCCACAACAUGAUGUCAUUCUGGAUUUCAAGAUGAAAACAGGAUUCUUCAGUAAAUUCUUUGAAGAAUGUGAUGUUGUGAAACUAUAAUGAUGUGAUAUGUAUUACAGUAAUUAAUCUUCAGUAACUUUGUCAUCAGUGAUUUUUUAUAGACUGCAAAUUUAAUGUUAAUGAUGAGUAUUAUAUGUCAUUUACACUAUUAACAUGAUUAAUAAACAUAUAGAAACUCA